rnacentral:lncRNA from 1 species
UAGCAUUGCCACUUACCAGAAAUUAUAUUAAAAGUACAGGUGAAACUUUCCAAAAUUUUAAAUUUACAUAGCAAAAGAAACUGACAUUUUCUCCAAGGGUUGCUGAUACGGGGUUGCGCGCGGACCAAGAUCGAGUUGCCAAGUCACGGGAAACUCCUACGAAAACCCUAAACAAUUAGAUCUGAAACGAAACAGAAAAUUAAAAGAUUAGAUUUUUGAAUUUUCAGAUCUGAAAUAAAAUCCCCAAAACAGUAAAGAAUCAAAUAGAGAAUAGAAAUAAGUGUUAGGGUUCUUGAAACCCUCAAGGAGAUUGUGAUUCUGCCCAAUUGAACACCAAGAUAGUUUUCCCCAAAUUUCGACAAUCUAAUUUCACCCAAAAAGAGUAUAGAAAAACCCUAGAAAUUGGGGAUUUUUUUUGGGCUGAUUCCUUAAGAUAGAAAAAGGCUGAAAACACAAUAAGAACAGAAAAUAGAUUAGAUAAUGAUUCAGCACAAGUAGAAAUAAAGAAAUAAAAUGAAAUAGCAAGAAAUAAAGAAAGUCCUAAAGAUCCUUGAAAUCCCGAAAGAUUUCACAAAUCCCUUCAAACGGCUCUAAUCUCCCCUCCAAAGAAUAUCAAUGGCAAGAAGAAGGUUGAAGAUGGCUCCACAAUCAAAAGAUUGUUAAAACAACUUCUAAAGAAAACUCAAGAGAAAAUCCUUGAAGAACUCAAAGAGAAUUUUCACUCAAAUCAAAUCUGAAAUUUUCAAUAUAAUUGUAUUGUAAUGUAGGGUGGCUGGCCAAGCCAUAUAAAUAGGCCUUUCAAAUGUUUUCCUAAUUUAAUUAGAACACUAAAACUAAAACUAAAAAAAAAAAAAAACUCCUAAUUAUUUUAAUAUGGAAAUUCGGCCAAGGGUCUUUUAUUUGGGACUCUUGGACUGAAUAUAAAAAUUUAAACUAAGUAAAAUAAAAAAAUAAAACUUUACAACUUGGGCCACUUUGACAAUUUGGCCUGAUUUUCAACUAAGUAUGGGUGGAUUUCUUGAUUGGGCUUGGAAGAAUUUGGGCUUGUGAUCCAUCUCCUACCGAAAUUGAAUUGUUGAUGCUCGUAAUGGAGAUCCAAUGCGCUUUGGCUGCAAGAUUUGGUGUCUUGGACCAAGAUUCCCAAUAUUUGAAAUCUUGAUUUUCCCUUUCUUUUGUGUACGCAUCUAAGGCCUUACUAACAAACUCCUGGAUGGUCCCAUUUAGUUUGGAACGCAUUUGUCGGGCCUUUGAUCUCGUAUCAUUCCCCCUUCCUCAAAAAGAUUCGACCUCGAAUCUGAAAAAUCAAAUGGGGACAAGUCAGCCACAUUAAAAGUAGAACUUACAUUGUACUCACCAGGUAGAUCAAUUUUAUAGGCAUUAUCGUUGAUCCUCUCGAGUACUUGGAAAGGCCCAUCGCCCCUUGGGUCCAACUUGGUCUUUCUUCUUGCAGGAAAUCGUUCUUUCCUCAUAUGGACCCAAACCCAAUCUCCGGGUUCUAGGACAACCCGUUUGCGCCCCUUGUUUGCUUUGUUGGUGUUGGCAUCAUAUGUUUUGGCUAUUCGUUGCCUAGCCUGCUCAUGUAAGGAUUUCACCAACUCAGCUUUCUGUUCACCAUCUAAAUUAACAAUGUGUUCAAGUGGUAAUGGCGCAAGAUCAAGUACUGUUAGUGGGUUAAAACCAUAAACAAGUUCAAAUGGAGAAUAACCAGUUGUAGAAUGAAUAGAUCUAUUAUAUGCAAAUUCAACAAACGGUAGGCAUUCUUCCCAAUUUCUAAUGUUCUUUCCCACAACAGAUCGUAAUAAAGUCCCUAAGAUCCGAUUAACUACUUCGGUUUGGCCAUCAGUUUGGGGGUGACAUGUAGUGGAAUAAAGUAAUUUAGUACCAAGCUUACCCCACAAUACCUUCCAAAAGUGGCUAAGAAAUUUGACAUCUCUGUCAGAAACAAUUGUUUUAGGGAUGCCAUGAAGUCUUACCACCUCUUUAAAGAAUAAGUCUGCUACAUGUGUAGCAUCAUCUGUUUUGUGACAAGAAAUAAAAUGUGCCAUCUUUGAGAACCUGUCAACAACAACAAAUAUACUAUCUCUUCCUUUCUUAUUUCGAGGCAAACCUAGAAUAAAGUCCAUGGAUAAAUCUACCCAAGGUGCAGUAGGAAUCGGUAAAGGAGUGUAAAGGCCAUGAGGCAUUACCUUAGAUUUUGCUUGUUUGCAUGUAAUGCACUUGGAACAUACCUUUUCGACAUCCUUUUUCAUAUGUGGCCAAUAGAAGUGUUCUUGCAAGAUAUCCAGUGUUUUGGCCACUCCAAAAUGUCCCAUUAAACCUCCACUAUGGGCCUCAUGAAUCAAUAAGUCUCUCAUGGAACACUUUGGUAUGCAUAACCUGUUCAUACGAAAAAGAAAGCCAUCUACAAGAUAAAAUUUAUCGAAAGCAGUAUGUCCACAAUUCUUAUAGAUAUGGCCGAAAUCAGCAUCAUCAUCAUAUAGUUCCUUAAUAUGUUCGAACCCUAAGACUUUAGCAUUCAAUGUAGUUAUUAAAGUAUAUCGCCUAGACAAAGCAUCUGCGACUACAUUAUCUUUACCUGUUUUAUAUUGAAUCACAUAAGGGAAUGUUUCAAUGAAUUCUACCCAUCGGGCAUGUCUUUUACUCAACUUACCUUGUCCCUUUAACCAUUUAAGAGACUCAUGAUCUGUAUGUAUGACAAACUCAUUAGGCAACAAAUAAUGUUGCCAUACUUGAAGUGCACGAACUAAUGCCAAUAGUUCUUUGUCAUAAGUCGAGUAAUUUAACUGUGCACCGUUCAAUUUCUCACUAAAAUAAGCAAUAGGUUGCUUAUCUUGCAUUAAAACGGCGCCGAUUCCAAUUCCUGAAGCAUCACACUCAAGUUCAAAAGUGUUAGCAAAAUCAGGUAAUUUAAGCAAAGGAGCAGAACAUAACUUAGCUUUUAGAGUUUGAAAAGCUUUUUCUUGGGUUUCACCCCAUUUGAAACCCACUGAUUUCUUUAUAACUUCAGUCAAUGGGGCAGCAAUAGUAGAGAAAUCUUUCACAAAUCGUCUAUAAAAACUGGCUAAACCAUGGAAAGAUCUCACCUCAGUUACCGAUUUAGGAGUCGGCCACUCCUUAAUUGCCUUAACUUUGUCCUCGUCGACAUGAAUACCUUGAGCACUAACUAUGAAACCUAAGAAUAUUAGUUUAUCACAACAGAAUGUGCAUUUAUCAAGGUUGGCAAAUAAUCUUUCAGUUCGUAGAAUAUCCAAAACGGUUCGAACAUGGAAAACAUGAUCAUCUAAUGACUUUGAGUAAAUUAAAAUAUCAUCAAAGUAAACUACUACAAAUUUACCCAAAUGUAGCCUCAAAACAUGAUUCAUUAAUCUCAUAAAUGUACUAGGUGCAUUAGUAAGGCCGAAAGGCAUAACUAACCAUUCAUACAAUCCAAAUUUUGUUUUAAAAGCUGUUUUCCAUUCAUCCCCUUCCCUCAUUCGAAUUUGAUGAUAACCGCUUCUUAAAUCAAUUUUUGUAAAUAUUAUUGAACCAUGUAAUUCAUCAAGCAUAUCAUCAAGUCUAGGGAUUGGGUGUCGAUACUUUACCGUUAUCUUGUUGAUUGGGCGACAAUCAACACACAUACGAAACGUACCAUCUUUCUUUGGCACCAAUAAGACAGGAACAGCACAAGGACUUAGGCUCUCACGAAUGUACCCUUUGUCUAGUAAUUCCUCCACUUGCCUUUGCAAUUCCUUUGUCUCCUCGGGAUUGCAUCUAUAGGCUGGUCGAUUUGGGAUUGAAGCUCCGGGUACUAAGUCAAUUUGAUGUUCUAUCCCUCGUAAAGGUGGUAAACCUUUAGGGGCCUCACUAAAAACAUCCUCAUAAUCCUGCAAAAGAGAUUGAAACACACUAGGCAAAUUUUCGUUAAUGUUAGAUAAAGAUAAAUAAUUUUGCCUAAACCUCACAAGGAUACAAGGCUGUUUAUUAAGUAGGGCUCUCUUCACAUCUUUUUUUGUUGCCAAAAGAUUUUUGCCGCUCAUUUUACCACUAGAGGAUUCACUCACCUUUGGGCUUUUUAAAUUUUGACUUUUUCCACUACUAUUAGCCUCUUUUCUCUCUGUCUUUUGUACUUGCUCUUUCUCCCUUACCCCCUCACAAAAUUUUAUCAUCCUCAAUUGAUCUUUAUAUACAUCAGUAGGAUUUAAAGGAGCAAAAGUGAAUUUCUUGCCUUUAAAUACAAGGGAGUAUCGAUUAAGUUUACCUUGGUGUGUAACAUCGCGAUCAAAUUGCCAAGGUCGUCCAAGGAGCAAGUGUGCCGCAUGCAUGGGGACUACAUCACACCAUACGUCAUCCUCAUAAUUGCCGAGUUUAAAAGUGACCAAGGACUGUUUCGUAACUUUAACUUCGGAACAUUCAUUAAGCCACUGAAGGUGAUAUGGCUUAGGGUGUUUGGUACAAGGCAACUUUAAAGAAUCCACCAAAUAACUACUCACUACAUUCGAGCAACUCCCACUAUCAAUAAUGAGUGAACAUAAGUUACCUUUAAUAAAACACCGAGAAUGGAAAAUAUUGGUCCUUUGGCUCUCAUCAUCUUUUAUCUGAAUGUUAAGGGUUCGACGAACUACAAGGCAUUGAAAAUUAGCAAAGUCCCCUUCCUUUGGUGGUUCGACCAACUCGUCGCCAUUAUCACUGUCAUCCACAAGUUCUGGCAUAUCUGGAUCUGUAUUAUCAGAGUCGGAAGUGUACUCACCGUUAUCUUUUAGAAGAAGUAAUCUCGUGUUAGGGCAUUCUCUACUAUAAUGACCACGCCCUUUGCACUUAAAGCAUUCAAUCUCACGAGUCCUCUUCGCACUCGAAUCACCUAAAUUGGGCUGCUUAGAAGGUGUUUGCGUUUUUGCAGGAGCCCCUUUUUUCCAAUCUGAUUGUUUACUUCCAUUACUCAAAGAAGACUUGUUAGUAACAAAAGGUGGUUUUGAACUCUUAAAAUCAGAAUUGGAAUUGUUACCUCGAUAAUAUUGUGAAGUAGAUAAGGACCCAAACCUUUGUUCCUUUAAUUGUUGCUCGAUCUCAAUGGCUUUGUGAACUGCUUCUUCCAAAUCAAUGUAAGUUUGUAGCCUCAAUGUAUUAGCUAUCGGCCUGUUCAAACCAUCAAUGAAUCGAACCAUAGUUGUUUCUUCAUCUUCCUCCACAUUAGCUCUCUGAAUGAGCAUCUCCAUCUCUUUAAAAUAUUCAUCCACCGUCCUACUACCUUGGAUAAGUCUUCUCAACUUUGUUUUAAUUUCUCUAUAGUAGUGAGGUGGAAUAAACCUUUUACGCAUAAUCUGUUUCAACUCAUCCCAUGUUGAAAUCUCACCUUCAUAAUUCCGAUGGCGGUUUACCCCAAGUUGAGUCCACCAACUUAAUGCAUAAUCAGAAAAUUCCAGUGUUGCUAACGCUACCUUUUCAUCAUCCGGACAUUUAUAAUAUCGAAACAUGAGUUCAAUCUUAGAUUCCCAUUCACAAUAAGCGUCAGGAUCAUUCUUACCACGAAAUUGGGGAAUUGUGAAUUUCGGUUUUGCCAAAGAAGGUUGUCCACGAUCAUGAAAAUCAUCAUCCAUUCUAGGGACACGUCGAGGGCCGCGCCUAUGGGGCUGGUUAUUCCUAUCUUCCCUGAUUGGAUCUCGAUAUUGAAGUUCUUGAUUCAUUCGUACCUCAUUCAAAGUAGUAUUCAAUGCUUGAAGGGUAGCAUUUAUUUGUGUGAUUGCAACAGCGUGUCCUUCUAACUGUUGUUGGACUUCCAUAAGUGUAUCAUUAUUAUCACCUUUAGACAUCUUCAAAACCUGUAAAAAAUAAACACUCAACACUCAAAAAUAAAAGUUAGCAAACCUCACCAUUAAUCACUCAAAAAGAAAAUUCAAAUUCUCAAUGAGGUCGAAUUCAAUCUUGUGAGUUCUUUAUCAGAGUUUAUAUCAACCAAUUAGAGAGUGUGAACCAAACUACCAAAGAAUCCUAAUUUGCACUAGGAUGCCAAAAACUGACGAGACACCAAUUGAUUCGUGUUGCACCGAGGAAGAAGUUGUGCACACGUUUAAAUCCUACUAACACAAGAAACAAGAAGGUGUUAGAUAACGUAAAGGAAGAAUAAAGGUAAACAAAUGAAAACCUACAGCUAAGAAUCAAUAAAAAUUGCUGAAAACAGAAAACCCGAAAAACUGCGGAGUAACUUGACAACUUCGUUCGAGGUGUUCCCGAUCUCCAAAAAUCACGAAAUUAAAUCUGGAGUGUCCUUACAUAUUGAAUUUUUGAUCUGGAAAUUUUGGGCACCAAAUUCAACCCGCUGAAUAUUUUUUUAAUUUUUUAUUGGAUUUCGUCUUUUUUCAAUUUUUUAACUUUUUCGACUUUUUUUUUUUUUGCGGUAAAUAUUUUUGUAUAUUCAAUAACAGUGCCAAAAAUAUGUAUGUAAAAUUUCAGAUCAAUCAGAAAACGUUUACCCACUCAAAUGAAUUUUUUUUCGAAAAUUUUUCUGGGUAAAACUGCUGUUGUAAUUUAAAAAAAUAGAGAUCAGUUUAGAAAUCAACCAAGAACACCCAAAACGCCCAAAAUCUGAUACCAAAUGAUACGGGGUUGCGCGCGGACCAAGAUCGAGUUGCCAAGUCACGGGAAACUCCUACGAAAACCCUAAACAAUUAGAUCUGAAACGAAACAGAAAAUUAAAAGAUUAGAUUUUUGAAUUUUCAGAUCUGAAAUAAAAUCCCCAAAACAGUAAAGAAUCAAAUAGAGAAUAGAAAUAAGUGUUAGGGUUCUUGAAACCCUCAAGGAGAUUGUGAUUCUGCCCAAUUGAACACCAAGAUAGUUUUCCCCAAAUUUCGACAAUCUAAUUUCACCCAAAAAGAGUAUAGAAAAACCCUAGAAAUUGGGGAUUUUUUUUGGGCUGAUUCCUUAAGAUAGAAAAAGGCUGAAAACACAAUAAGAACAGAAAAUAGAUUAGAUAAUGAUUCAGCACAAGUAGAAAUAAAGAAAUAAAAUGAAAUAGCAAGAAAUAAAGAAAGUCCUAAAGAUCCUUGAAAUCCCGAAAGAUUUCACAAAUCCCUUCAAACGGCUCUAAUCUCCCCUCCAAAGAAUAUCAAUGGCAAGAAGAAGGUUGAAGAUGGCUCCACAAUCAAAAGAUUGUUAAAACAACUUCUAAAGAAAACUCAAGAGAAAAUCCUUGAAGAACUCAAAGAGAAUUUUCACUCAAAUCAAAUCUGAAAUUUUCAAUAUAAUUGUAUUGUAAUGUAGGGUGGCUGGCCAAGCCAUAUAAAUAGGCCUUUCAAAUGUUUUCCUAAUUUAAUUAGAACACUAAAACUAAAACUAAAAAAAAAAAAAAACUCCUAAUUAUUUUAAUAUGGAAAUUCGGCCAAGGGUCUUUUAUUUGGGACUCUUGGACUGAAUAUAAAAAUUUAAACUAAGUAAAAUAAAAAAAUAAAACUUUACAACUUGGGCCACUUUGACAAUUUGGCCUGAUUUUCAACUAAGUAUGGGUGGAUUUCUUGAUUGGGCUUGGAAGAAUUUGGGCUUGUGAUCCAUCUCCUACCGAAAUUGAAUUGUUGAUGCUCGUAAUGGAGAUCCAAUGCGCUUUGGCUGCAAGAUUUGGUGUCUUGGACCAAGAUUCCCAAUAUUUGAAAUCUUGAUUUUCCCUUUCUUUUGUGUACGCAUCUAAGGCCUUACUAACAAACUCCUGGAUGGUCCCAUUUAGUUUGGAACGCAUUUGUCGGGCCUUUGAUCUCGUAUCAGUUGCACUACCAUGCAUUUAUGUAUUUAACUUCUGUUAUAGCUAAGUAUCUAUAGUAUGGAUCUAGACCUUCUCGAUGAGUUACCAUAGUUCUGAUUCUAGGCAAAAGAUUUUCUAGCAACCGGUAUUUUUCAACUUUCAGUCAAGUACUUAAAACUUCAAAU